rnacentral:rRNA from 1 species
AUGACUAGGGAUAACCUUAGGAAGAGACACAUCAUCAAACCCCUUGAUUGUGUUUACUGCUUGGAACAAGAGUCUUUUUCUCACCUAUUUUUUGAAUGUAUAGUUGCUAAACAUCUCUGGGCCCACAUUGAGGAAUAUUUCUCUAGUCAGAUUGGCUCAUCCUUCGAAUAUAUCGCCAGAUUCUGGAUUGCUACCAAAAAGUGCUCAGAUUUAAACACUGUUAGCUCAGCUGUCCUUUGGUGCCUCUGGAAAUAUAGAAAUGCUAUGAUUUUCAGUAACACCUCCUGGAUUUCCAUUCCGCGGGUCUUGAGGUUGAUCAGGAACAUGGUGAGGAACUGGGCGAUUCUCUCCUCCGGAUCGGACAAGGACAAGUUGAUGAGCUUCGUGGAAACCCUAACAAGAUCCCUCCAGAUACCGUUGGCGAUCACUUGUGGCUGA